AAUUACUGGGCGUAAAGGGCGCGUAGGCGGUACUUCAAGUCAGGCGUGAAAGCCCCGGGCUCAACCUGGGAACCGCGCUUGAGACUGGAGAACUAGAGUUCGGGAGAGGAUGGUGGAAUUCCCAGUGUAGAGGUGAAAUUCGUAGAUAUUGGGAAGAACACCGAUGGCGAAGGCAGCCAUCUGGACCGACACUGACGCUGAGGCGCGAAAGCGUGGGGAGCAAACAGGAUUAGAUACCCUGGUAGUCAAGGGCG
rnacentral:rRNA from 1 species